CAUCAUGUCCGAUACACUAGAAACCCACCUCCUUGCAUAACCAUUCCCCUCUUCUGGUCACGUAAUUCCCCUCAUCGACCUUUCCAAAAUCCUAGUCUCUCACAACAUAUAUGUCACCAAAACUGUGGUAAGACUAGCGUCAUUCCUUUGGCGGAUGGAGACCGUGAGAAGCAGAUUAUUUUACAUGAAGAUCUCGAACCAGAUAAGAACCAAAAACGGAAACAUUCAGCGUCUAUAAUUUGGCAACCUCUGAGACUGUCUGAAGUUGAAUUAUGUCCUGAAGAUAUUCAUGAGUAUGCUGUUGGAUGA